rnacentral:rRNA from 1 species
GAUCCGGGGAUGUCCGAAUGGGGAAACCUAGCACCAGUCAUGUGGUGUUGCCUCCGCCUGAAUGUAUAGGGCGGUUGGUGGUAACGCGGGGAAGUGAAACAUCUCAGUACCCGUAGGAAUAGAAAACAAUUUAGUGAUUCCGUGAGUAGUGGUGAGCGAAAGCGGAGGAGGCUAAACCGUGCGCGUGUGAUAGCCGGCGGGCGUUGCGUGUGCGGGGUUGUGGGACCUUCCGGGGGAGACCGCCGUCUCUUCAGGCAGUGAGAAAUCGGUGGGGUAGUCGAACGCUCUGGGAAGGGCGGCCGUAGACCGUGAGAGCCGGGUAGGCGAAACUUUGCCGACUGUUGGGAGUGUUCCCGAGUAGCACGGGGCCCGAGAAAUCCUGUGUGAAUCUGCCAGGACCACCUGGUAAGCCUAAAUACUUCCUGAUGACCGAUAGUGAACAAGUACCGUGAGGGAAAGGUGAAAAGCGCCCCGGUGAGGGGUCGUGAAAUAGUACCUGAAACCGUGUGCCUACAAGCCGUAGGAGCGUAGGCAAGCUUGCUUGUCUGUGAUGUGACUGCGUGCCUUUUGAAGAAUGAGCCUGCGAGUUAUGGUGUGUGGCGAGGUUAACCCGUGUGGGGGAGCCGUAGCGAAAGCGAGUCUGAAUAGGGCGUUUGGAGUCGCAUGCUGUAGACCCGAAGCGGAGUGAUCUACGCAUGGGCAGGUUGAAGCGCGGGUAAGACCGCGUGGAGGACCGAACCCACCAGGGUUGAAAACCUGGGGGAUGACCUGUGUGUAGGGGUGAAAGGCCAAUCAAACUCCGUGAUAGCUGGUUCUCCCCGAAAUGCAUUUAGGUGCAGCGUUGCGUGGUGCUUGCCGGAGGUAGGGCUCUGGUUGGCUGAUGGGCCCGACAAGGUUACUGACGUCAGCCAAACUUCGAAUGCCGGUAAGUGGAGCGUGGCAGUGAGACUGCGGGGGAUAAGCUCCGUGGUCGAGAGGGAAACAGCCCAGAUCACCGACUAAGGCCCCUAAGCGUGUGCU